rfam:Lactobacillus casei ATCC 334, complete genome.
UAAUGAGAAUACAAACAGGGAGCACCCCCAUAAGAGUGCUCCCCUAGCAGAGCCGUUUAAGACGGCGGCAACUAUUGGGCUAAAUA